GUUUCUGGUUUGAAAUGGAACAUCCAUGAAUGGGUAUGUUGUUGGUUUUGGUAAAAGAAGGCAUUGGACGAUGCUACAAUAUAAUCCCAAUAAUUAAAAUGUUGGGGGUCAUAAUUUUGUGGGAACUUUUUGAAGUCACAGGGAUUACUUCCCCAUGCGGCAGGUGUUAAAACAGAAAGGAUUUGUACCGUAGAAUGUGUAUAAGCAUCUAUGUUUUGAAACUUGUAGUGCUUAACAGCUAUAGAUU
rnacentral:lncRNA from 1 species